UCCGGUUGAUCCUGCCAGAGGUUACUGCUAUCGGUGUUCGCCUAAGCCAUGCGAGUCAUAUGUUCUUCGUGAACAUGGCGUACUGCUCAGUAACACGUGGAUAACCUGCCCUUGGGUCCGGCAUAACCCCGGGAAACUGGGGAUAAUUCCGGAUAACGCACAUAUGCUGGAAUGCUUUAUGCGUAAAAUGGAUUCGUCUGCCCAAGGAUGGGUCUGCGGCCUAUCAGGUAGUAGUGGGUGUAAUGUACCUACUAGCCUACAACGGGUACGGGUUGUGAGAGCAAGAGCCCGGAGAUGGAUUCUGAGACAUGAAUCCAGGCCCUACGGGGCGCAGCAGGCGCGAAAACUUUACAAUGCGGGAAACCGUGAUAAGGGGACACCGAGUGCUAGCAUCAUAUGCUGGCUGUCCAGGUGUGUAAAAUACACCUGUUAGCAAGGGCCGGGCAAGACCGGUGCCAGCCGCCGCGGUAACACCGGCGGCCCGAGUGGUGAUCGUGAUUAUUGGGUCUAAAGGGUCCGUAGCCGGUUUGGUCAGUCCUCCGGGAAAUCUGACAGCUCAACUGUUAGGCUUUCGGGGGAUACUGCCAGACUUGGAACCGGGAGAGGUAAGAGGUACUACAGGGGUAGGAGUGAAAUCUUGUAAUCCCUGUGGGACCACCUGUGGCGAAGGCGUCUUACCAGAACGGGUUCGACGGUGAGGGACGAAAGCUGGGGGCACGAACCGGAUUAGAUACCCGGGUAGUCCCAGCCGUAAACGAUGCUCGCUAGGUGUCAGGCAUGGCGCGACCGUGUCUGGUGCCGCAGGGAAGCCGUGAAGCGAGCCACCUGGGAAGUACGGCCGCAAGGCUGAAACUUAAAGGAAUUGGCGGGGGAGCACAACAACGGGUGGAGCCUGCGGUUUAAUUGGACUCAACGCCGGACAACUCACCGGGGACGACAGCAAUAUGUAGGCCAGGCUGAAGACCUUGCCUGAAUCGCUGAGAGGAGGUGCAUGGCCGUCGCCAGUUCGUACUGUGAAGCAUCCUGUUAAGUCAGGUAACGAGCGAGACC
rnacentral:rRNA from 1 species